ACCUGGGUAGCUCAGUUGGUUAAGCAUCAGACUUCAGCUCAGGUCUUGAUCCCACAGUUUGUGGGUUUGAGGCCCACAUCAGGUU
rnacentral:tRNA from 1 species